UAGGGAAUCUUCGGCAAUGGACGAAAGUCUGACCGAGCAACGCCGCGUGAGUGAAGAAGGUUUUCGGAUCGUAAAACUCUGUUGUUAGAGAAGAACAAGGACGUUAGUAACUGAACGUCCCCUGACGGUAUCUAACCAGAAAGCCACGGCUAACUACGUGCCAGCAGCCGCGGUAAUACGUGGGUGGCAAGCGUUGUCCGGAGUUAUUGGGCGUAAAGCGAGCGCAGGCGGUUUCUUAAGUCUGAUGUGAAAGCCCCCGGCUCAACCGGGGAGGGUCAAUGGAAGCUGGGAGAGUUGAGUGCAGAAGAGGAGAGUGGAAUUCCAUGUGUAGCGGUGAAAUGCGUAGAUAUAUGGAGGAACACCAGUGGCGAAGGCGGCUCUCUGGUCUGUAGCUGACGCUGAGGCUCGAAAGCGUGGGGAGCAAACAGG
rnacentral:rRNA from 1 species